UCAAUUCUGAAAGGGUUAACUGGCUCCUUUAUUUGUUCAAAUUACUGCUGAAUUUGCUAAACAUAAAAGAAAAAGAAAAAACAUGCAAAAAAUAUCAGGUGUCUGGGGAGCGGGAGCUAUAUAUAUAUAUAUAUAAACCAUGAAGAAAGAUCUCUCUACAAACCAUACACAAAUAAACGAGUACAAACUAUGGCACAAUCGCUUGAGCAACACACAUGCAGUUAUUAUUUAAUUUCUAGGACGAAGGUCGAUGAUCAGGAUAUUUCCUGGGACGAGUGACGUCAGGGUCAACCCUAGCUGCAGGUGGAGAGUCUGCCACCCUUCGAGGACAGACCUUGGGCUUUUACUUCACAUAAAGGGCAUAGUAGCCAAGGGCACCGGCGAUAACAGCGGCAGUGACGGCCGUGGUGGUGGUGCUCAUGCCAAGCAAAAAGCCCCUCCUCGCAGCCUCGGGAGGAGGUGACCUCUUUGGUGCGUCUGCCAUUUCUUUUCUCUCCAAUCUCCAAUUCUUCUUGUUCCAGUCUCCCUCUCUCUCUCUCUCUCUCUCUCUCUCUCUCUCUCUCUCUCUCUCUCUCUCUCUGUAUAUCUUAUAUUUCUGUUUGGGGGCUGAGACGGUGAAACCUAUCUCUUUGUUUCUGCAUGCAAUAUUGCAUAGGAGAGGCUUUGUCGACACGUUUUAAGUUGCAUGGCACCAAGUGCAGGCCUCCGUCACUCGAAACGUAGCCGGUUCGUGUAAGGUUUUAGGUAUAUACGAUUUCAAAACUACAGGAUGCAAUGUGAAAAAAUAUAAAAAUUAAAAUCUAACUUACCAUGAAACUAUUUCAUGUGAAAAAAAAUAAAAAAUCACCGUGUCUCCAAACUUUGGUAUGACUCUAAACCUUGAUGAAAUCCCUAUUGCGAACCUAAACCCUAAUUUUAUGUGCCUAUAACAUUUAAUCCGUAUUUUUUGAUUCUUCUACAAAUUUAUCGAACCACUUGACAUAGCUUGAAUGUGACCAACUCUCUAUUGCUUGCAUGUGAACCAAAUUAGAAUAUAAUUAUAACUAAAAUAUCAUUGAAUAGUAUUUUCAGAUGAUUAUUUAUCAUCGUAAUUUCCAAAUUUUAUAUAUAGAAAUUUAUAAUUAACUCACAAGGGUCCCGACAUGAAAAAAAAUAAUAACUUGAGAAAAUUAAUAAAAUCAAGAAAAUAUUGCAUUCACCGAAUUACAAGUACAAGUCUGCAAGUAAUUGAAUUUUUUUUGCACGAAGCAAGUAAUUGAAUUAGAACAAAGAAGAAAAAACAAUUACGAGUAUUAGCUCCACAAAGUAGUACUGUACCCCCGCCUCCUAAAACGACGACGUUUUGAAGCAUUUCGAAUCCAGCUAGUGUGCACUCACAGGGCCCAAGCCCUGCAACCAGGUGUUGUAGUCUUUCCAUGCUUUGUGACCGUUGCAAUAAACGUUUUCUUUGCCGUUGCUUUAACGUUUUCCCUAACCCCGUAACGGCUACUUUUUCUCCCCAGACAAUAUAUACAUCACAGCUGAGACUCCAUAGCCACGACUCAAAUUUUCUCUCUCUCCCUCUCUCACUCUCAAAUUCUCCAAAAUCCGACAACACACUUGCAGACACACUCUCUAAUAAUGGCUGGCUUUUCAUCCUCAAAAGCUCUGUCAUACUCCUCUCUUCUCGUGGUCUUUCUCCUCUUCAGCUUCUCGGAAGCCAGAGAGUUCGCCGUCGGCGGCAAGAAUGGCUCAUGGGCAGUCCCCUCCUCUGAAUCCCAAUCCCUCAACAAAUGGGCUGAAAGCACCCGCUUUCGCGUCGGCGACACUCUUGGUAAAAUCCCCAGUCCAAUUCCCAUCUGGGAUUUACCAUUUUUUGUUUUAGGCACAUUACUAAUUUUUUUUUUUUUUUUGUUUUCUGUAAAAUGUAAAUUUGUUUUCAGUGUGGAAGUAUGACAGCGCCAAAGACUCAGUGUUGCGAGUGACGAAAGAAGACUACACCAACUGCAAUGCUUCAAAUCCUAUUGAGCAGUACAAGGACGGCGAGACCAAGCUCCACCUCGACCAGCCGGGGCCUUACUACUUCAUCAGCGGAACCAAGGGACACUGCGAGAAAGGGCAGAAGCUGGUCGUGGUUGUUAUGACUCCAAGGAAGCACCUCGGUAUCUCUCCCGCUCCUUCUCCGGCUGGGGAGGUUGACGGUCCUGCUGUUGCUCCUACCAGCGGUGCUACAAGCUUGCAGGGUGGUGGUCUUCUGACUCUGGUGGCAUUGGGAGUUUUUACUCUCUGGUUUUAGAGGAGCGAGGGUGGGGGGUAUAAUUAUUUGUUUAAUUCUUUAAUUUUUUUUCAGAGAGGGGUCUGAGAUAUUAUGUAAUUCUAUUUCGAAUAUCGUAAUAUCAGAUAUAUCAUUUUAUAAAUAGGAAGAUUUUGAACGUGGUUUUUAGUUAUGAAUAUUCUUUGAUUAAAAUUUUGUUGGUUUUUAAUUUUUUUAUUAAAUUGCUUAAAAUUAAUGUGAUAAUUUAUUUCUAUGUACGUUAUUAUAUUUUUUAAAUUAAAAAUUAAAAAUUUUAGUUGUUUAUGUAAAUGAGAUUUUAAAUAGAUAAAAACAUAAUUUGUGGGAUUAAAAAUAUUAAAAUAUAAAUAUACUAUGUGGUGUCUCCUCGUGAGCUGAUCGUCGAGGUCUUCCGGCGGCUUGACUCCAAGCCCAGCCGUGAUGUCUGCUCCCUCGUCUGCAAGUGCUGGCCCGACUCCGGUCGGUCGCUCUGUCGUCAGUAAGGGCAUGCUUUCUGCUUUUCUCUCUUCGACUGUCGUCAACAAAAGGUUUGUUCUUGUUACUGAUGCACUAAUCUAAUGCAUUUGCUCCAUUUACUAUAUGUACAUCGAAAAACAACAGGAAGCUCAAUCACUUGUCAUGAACAAAACUAAAAGAUGAAAUACCUCCAUCCUGUAUCGAUAUCCCACUUAUCGACGAUGAUCAUGACAAGAAGCAAGCAAAUUCAAAUAUCAUACAAGACAAUGAGAACAAAACUUGCAUACACAACAUUGUAAUCAAUAACCACCAAGAUCAAAAAUAUCAAAUGCAUUGGAUAAUUAGAUAAAAUAAUUACAAAAGUUGUAAUUAGUCUCCUGGUUUUCAUGGAUUUCUCACCAUUACAACCUGACCAAACAGAAUGUUUCUUUUUUCGACCUACAAAGACCGGAGAUUUAGGACUAGUUGACCUCAACUGGGGCUUCGUGGGUCUCAAUUAGGGGUUCCUCAUUCUCAAUUGAAGCUUCGUCACUCUCGAUUGGAACAUCAUCAACCUCAAUUGGGGCAUCGUCGAUCGUGAUUGGGGCAUUGUCGAUCUCAAUUGGGGCAUCGUCGAUCUCAAUUGGGGCUUCAUCGAUCUCAAUCGGGGCUUCUUCUGUCUGGAUCGGUGAUCAGCUUGAGAGGAGACAUGUGUUGAUCGGCGAUCAGCUAAAGUGUCGUUGGACAUUGUUAUCCUUAUACUUAACUGAGUUUAACAAAAUUUUGUUUUUUAGGUUAAUUUUGCUAAUAAUCUUCACCACAAGGAAUUAAAUCUAAAGUGUCGUUGGACAUUGUUAUCCUUAUACUUAACUGAGUUUAACAAAAUUUUGUUUUUUAGGUUAAUUUUGCUAAUAAUCUUCACCACAAGGAAUUAAAUCCUAAUUUUUUUUACCACAUGGGUAAUCCUCCGAAUACCCUAUCACCACAGGAACUAUUAAUCUGAUUUGGCCAAAAAUUUAUUGUAUCAAAACAUGGGUACAUUCUUCAAAAUCACAAAAAAAGACAUUAGGCUUAAUAACAUUAGUAAAUUUCUUCAAUUAAACUUGACAUAGAUACAUUCUAAAAUCAAAGAAAAAAGAAUGUACCCAUAUAAGUUUAAAAAUGGAUUAGAAAAAAAUUGAAUAGAUUUUAUAUAUUAAAAAAGGGUACAUUUUACAUAUAAACAAAUUGGUAUAUUUAAGAAUGAGUACAUUAUAAGAUUAAAAAGUUUUACAUGAAUGGGUACAUAUAAUUAGCAUGGGUACAUUUAGCAAAAAUAAAAAGUACAAAUAAAAAAAAAGGGUACAAAUACAAAUAAAUUUUAAAAAAUAUGGGCACAAAAAGAAAUUAAUAUAUGGGUACAAAUUAAAACUGAAAAGAAAAUCGAUACAAGUUAAAAAAGAAUUACAAAUUAAAAAUGGGUACAAAAUAAAACUAAAAAUAUAUGAUAAAAAAUUUAGUCAUAAAUAUAAAUAUACUAAUUGUAACAUUUUAAACAUUAAAUGAAUAUAUUUAGAAAUAAAAAAUUAUUAUUGAAAUAAUUAAUGAUGUUAUUAAUACCAAGGACCUUGAUAAAAACUUGAAACUGAAACUUGACCUCAUUGAAAAUUUUGAAUCAACAAUUUUUCCUUGAAACUAAGAGGUACGAAGAAAAAAGUUCAACAUUACGAAAUAGGACAGUUAAAUGUCAUAGAGAUGCACCGGCAAAUCAUUUCAAUUCACCGAGAGCUUUUGGCAUUCCUAUACUCUGGGCAAGGUUGCUCAUUCUAUCCUUCAUGGCCUGAAUAUUGGAAAGUACACACAAAUACUAUCAGUUAAAGUAGCCCACAAUUAUCAAUCAGUCUGUAAAAACAUAGAAACACAUUGUGUUCUCACCAUGACACUCUUCUGAUGCGCAUCUUUGUAUGCUUCCGUCACCAAUUCAGAGACUUUCUGCAUUGUGAAAAUAAAAAAGGAAAAGAAAUCACAUCUAUCCUAAGGAGAAACUCAUUCUGGCAAACGGGAAAGGGAACAAUAGUUUUCACGACUUACUUCUGCUCCUAGUUCCAUAGCAGCCUCAGUUAUCUCAGUGCGUACAGGUUGCUGGUUACCAGAAAGCGUUACCUAGGGGAAAAUCAGAGAUCAGAGGAUUGUCAAGUCUGAGAGCAACAGAGACAAGAGUAUAUAUAUGUAAACAGGGAGAGAAGACGAAGGUUCCAUUUAACGAACAGCUGAGCUGAUAAAACUAAAAUGCACCGAUUGGAAAAACUUAAAGUUAUCUGUGUAGGUCAGUAAAAGUUUUGCUAGCGACACUAUGACCGUGUCUUCACAUUAUCUUGAUACUAUGAAAGUGAAAGUUAAAAUACCAUUCAGACACAAGAAAACCAGCUUAUAUUCCCAAACUGAACAAAUAUCCAAAGUUGACCUUGUCGCAAGAGUGAAUCAUUCGUACCUUUAUAAUCUCACCUUCACAGUAACCAUCAAACACUGCCCUGAAAAAGGGGGGAAAAAAAGAAGAAAGAAUGAAGAGAUAAUAAUCAUACCACUGAAAGGAUUAUCAGUAUCGGACGAAAUUGGAUAAAGCUUUAAGAACAUACGCAGCAAGCUCUUUCUGCACACGCACUGCUUCAACUUGUACUACAUUUUGAGCUUGCUUAACUGUCUCAUACAGAUUUUGCAUACUGAAAACUCCUGCCUGCAUCAAAAGUGCAGACAUAACAGUACAUCAACUUGAUACUUAAAUCAAGGUUUCUAUUCUUAGGAAUGCUGGACUAGCUCCACGUGGACUAAGACAGACUCGGGAUACUGUAACAGAAAACAACAUAGGAUCAUAGUCACAAUUAUGCUAGAAACAACAUAAAGUCAUUAUCAGCAUAUGUUCUAGUAAACCAAAAGUGGCCAGUUAUGAUCGACCUCAAGCUUGCAAUGUCGCCAUUACACAAGACAAAUAAACGAUGAUAACACUAUCACUAUAGCAACCUUAUAGUUCGACUAUAAUUAUAACUAGGCAACCCCAUUUGACGUCCAUACCACUGCCCUUUAUCCUAAACAAAUCCUGCUACCAAUUGCGUGAUGCAAGAUAUAGUGAUCCAUAAUAAAACAUAGCUGGACCAUGUUCGACCAAAGUACAGUUGACAGCCUAAUGUCAAAAUCUGUGAGCCUCGGGCUGCAUAAAGCUACUUAGCUUACAAUUGGAAGGGCUACGAAACCCUGCAACCUAAUACUGCAUCAAUCAUAUAAAUUUGAUCUGGUGUCCCCACAUGAAGCAUAUAAAAGUUAAAAUCAACCAUCCCCUUUCAUUUUAAUAGAGUUUGUAUUGACUUGACACACUCAACAGAGGAAUACAAGGGGCAAGAAAUAAAUUUCUGAGAAGGAUUAACGGGUACAGCAAUGCAGCAGAUGGCAAUUCCAAUGGUCAAUACAAAGUUGGUCCACCCAAGACAAGUUCCAGAAAAAUGGGAAAACAAACUACAAGAGGGAAAAUGCUAAACCUUUGAAGCUGCAUCAUCACCCCUUUCAUUGUUACCCUUUUUCCCUCCUCCAAAUAAGCCAUACACACGGGACGAACGGGGUGUCCUCCCAGUCUUAAUACCAGGCCAAGAAACAAUUGAAGGACAGGCUGGACGUGAGUUUACUCCUUCACCUAUAAUCAGAAUAAAGCAGUAAGUUUGAUUUGUCAUCAGAAAUUACACGAUAACCCCGUCUCACAGCGGAAUAGGCAAAACAUUUUUGCACAACAAAACAAUGAUUAACAGAUUGAGCAUAAAUUUCGAAAAAGCGCAAACAUUUACGCUCACAAAUUUUCAAUGCCCACAAUUUAGUUUGACAUCCUAAACAAUCUCGCUCAGCAAAGUGGCAUCAAAUUUCAAUGCCCAGAAUUCAAAUACAAUGGUCCAACAUUUCCAACAGUAAUUUCUUACACUGCCAAAGCCAUGCUUUUUCCUCAAGUGUAUGAUAAAAAGGGGUUAAAAUUGGUACAAAAAGAAACCCAAUUUCUGUUCUAUCUUCUUUCGAAAACCCCAUAAUUUCUAUGCAAUUCGAGAAAUGUUUUUGCAUACAAAAUUGUGCGGAAUACUACUGGUAUUGAGCCAAUACGUUUCGAGAGAGCUUACGGAAAGUGAGGUGGUCCUGGGAUUCGGUGAGGAGGUGGAAGUUGGAAAGCCGGGAGCUUAAAGCACUGGUCGACGACAUGACGGACACAGAGAGGGAGGAAGGAGAGGCGAAAUAGCGGUGCAAUUCAAUGCCUCUCUCUCUCGCUGUCUCUGGUUUUUGGAUACAAUGGAUCUCUUCGAUACCUACCUCAAUGCACCAAACAAAACUUUGGUAAUUUUAUUUAUUUUUUAUCUUAUAUAUAAUAUAUAUAAAAAAAAAAAUUUUGAAAGGGUUUGCGCGAUUAUCGGAAGACCAGUUCCACAUGACUUGUAGGAUUUUUUUAGGGUUUAGGCCCGAAUGAAAAAGGGGCAUAAGCCCGAAUGAAAAAAGAAUAUUACAUAUGAUUAUCACGAGACCAAAAAACACUAAUUUAUAUCUACAUAUAGCAAUUUACAACAAAAAGGAGGAGCUAGUAACUCUCAAAAUAUCUUGUGAAAUCUCAACAAUUUUCAUGUUUCACAAACACAGUUUGCUAUUAACUCCGGAUUUGUAAAAUCGGUUUUGGCCAGUUCUACAAAAUUCAUCAUAAAGUUAAAACCUCUUUUUGGUAAACUUUUCUUGCAAACUCAAUUCCGGCUAUGUUUUAGGUCAGUUCAAUAUUUGUAACUGAUUCUUCUAUUUUUGAGCAUAAAAAUUUAAGCAAAUACUUAUGUUAAUAAGUAAUAAGACCGAUUCCAAAGAGUUACUUAAAAGAAAAAAAAUUAGUUAGUAAACCUUGUGCUUGGUUUAAAACUACUUUGCACGACGCAGAUCCUACGUCGUGCAAAGCUACUUUGCGCGACGUACGUUACUCCUUCGUUGCACAAACCACUUUUUUAUUUUUUUGGCAAAAAUAUUUUUUAUUUAAUUUUUAAUAAAUAUUGUAAAUUCUAAACAAUAAUUAAUAAACAAAAAAAAGUAUUUAAUUAUAAAAUAUAUGAAAAUGUACAUACAAGAUGUUCGAACAAAAAAGAAAAAACUACAACAAGUAGUCUUCUAUGUUUGAUACAUCAGACUACUAUGUAUCGGCUGGGCGAAGUGGCUGGGAGGUCGAAGGUGGAGCAAGAUUAGGUGCUGGCAUCGGGAUUUAGAGGCCGGAAAUCUGUAAGGCCCGUACAAUAAUACUCAUUUGCUCGCCCUGGGCUGCAAGUUGACCUUUUAGGGUUGUCACUUCCUCCUUCAAGGCAUUGACCUCUCCUGUGGUCGAUCUGGAAAAGGAGGCACCCGUCUCACGAACCCGCACCUUCCCUAUACACCGAACAAUAAAAAUAUAACAUUAGAAACUAGUCAUUUCUUGCAUUUGAAACUAAUCAAUUAGCAGCCAAAGUAAUAUCAUAUCCUUUCUUGCAUUUGUUCACACACACACACACACAUACACACACACACACACACACACAUAUAUAUAUAUAUAUAUAUAUAAAGCAGUAUUGCAAUGGUAGAAACAAUACUAAUUAACGAUGUCAACUAUGCUUUAAACCAAUAGGAUCAGAUGUUCCGUUUAUGUGUAUCUUGAUUAUUUUGGUCGCAAGUUAAUAUGUCGUAUUUUUAUUUAUCGUAAAAUACAUGUAAGAAAGCAAUUCUAAGUAGAUAUAUAUUUGAUGUUUAUCCACAAGCUAUCUUCAAACACAUUGACAAUAUUCUUAGUGCAGUUAUUAAAUUCUAUACCUGCAAUCCAACUAAGAAAGCUUUAAUUAUCAUGGCCUAUCUGACAUGGACAAAUCAAUCAUCAAACAUAGACAGUCCUUAUGCACCUAAUUAUACAGCAUGGGAAGCAUGACUUCAUCAGUCAACAAACAUACACAGUCCUUAUGCACAAAUCAAAAGUGGCAUCAAGAAAAACUGUAACUACAAAUGUGAGAACAAUCAUCGCGUUAGAAAUCAUUUAUCAAUCUUAAAUAAGUGUCCAUACAAGCAAAGUGUUGGCAACAAACCCCGUAGACAUGUGUAAGAAAAAGAUUAGAAGCACAAGUGUAAGAAAAGGAAAGCUGGAUAAGUUACCUGCUUCCCAUUCUCAUCCAUGAUAACCAUCCUCGGCAACGAUUGAACAUGCAUUAAGAAAUUUGACUCUCAUACAAAGAGAAAUAGGUUCACUAAUGCCCAAACUCAAUACAAGCAAACGACGAGAGAACAAUCUCAGAACUUAUCUGGAAAGAGAUCCAAACCACAUGCAUGCAUACAUCUUCGUUGCCUCUGAAGACCAAAAGAACCAAACAAAUCAGCUCAAAAAUGCAACCGGAAUUUUCACUAUGCCACAAUAGAUGAAAAUUAACAUAGGAAGGCACACAACUCUAUAUGAACAUAUAUUUUUUACCAGUAAAAGAGGGAAGAAAACCUAACUCUCAGAGUCUCAUGACUUAUUGUCAAAACAUAGGCAAAAACUUAAUGGACGCAGUUUCCAAAUAAGUUUUAAAAACUUUAUGAGCCUUGCAUGGAAGAGAAGUAAUCUUCCAGUACUUGGUUUUCUUAAUUGACAUGUUUUCAGCAGGAGUGUUGGUUGACAUGUACCUCGCCAUCCAAGACCUACUUGCUUCUUAAAUCUGUUCUUGUCUUUUCAUUUCAAUUUUUUAUUUUUUUUUCAAAAGAGGAAGAAACAAUUGUCAUUAUUUUUUUUUUGGGUCAAGAUUACAUUAUAUGAGAUGGGGACUUUCAGAUUAAAAAUGAGAAACAGAAAAACCUGCUAAACCAAGUAACAUAAUGAAGAUCACUUUUUUUUCUUUUUUCAAAUAACAAAAGUCCAAGAGAAAGAUUUACCUUCCAAACUGCGUCUCUCUUUGCAGUUCCAACCAAGUAUGGAUGAUGAGCACAGAACAAAACUCGUGUUGCGGCACUUGGAGCUGCAGGUAAAGCUACUAAUGAUAUGACAAGUAAAGCCUUCACUGAAACCUCAACCAAAGGGAGGAAUGGUACUUGAGUGUCCAAUGAAUUAUCUGUUUCACUAUAACACAUAGAAAAUUAAAUCCCCGCCACCAUAUCAGAGAGGAUAUGAGAAACAAUGUGCAGAGAUGGGUACUUAAAUGUACAAAUCAAUACACUUAAACCACCACAAACACUUGUAUUUAAUAUUGUUAUUAAUAGUAUAUUUAAAUAUGAUUGAAAGGAAGAACCAACAGCAUCAACUAAAGCUACAGAACCAUAAGAAGAACAAACCGAACUUAACAAUGAUGGUCAAGGUUCAAGAUGCUUAUUCUGCCUGCACCCACCCCAAUGGGAAGAAUUAAAAAGGAUAAGUAGCGUAUAUAAAAAAGAGUUGCACCUUAACUUUGAUCAUGCCAAGUGGAGCAUUACACAUUUCUUGCAGUGUGUUGAUCAUGCCAAUCCUCUGAGCCUGUUUAAAUGGAAAUGUUAAUUAAAGAUAAUACAAGUAGAAGCCGCUUAACAGUGUGCUCAAAUAAGGAAAUGUUAAGAAAAUAUAGUGAGGACUUGUCUUUUCCCUAAUUUGAAUAUUACUCUGACUGAGGAAGAUAUGGACCUACCUCCUAACCCCACUCUUUGUUCCUAAUUAGUCCCUUCCUUACCCAUACACCUACAGAAGAAAAAGAAGAAACUAAAAAGUCCAUUCCACGGCCCAAUACCCGAUUCGACUCGUUCUGAGUCGGACUCGUUGUCGUGAAACCCAGUCGCAGACGAGCUUGGAGAGGCAGGGGGAGUCGUAGUCGCCGGAGUGCUCGCUUCCUUUGCUGGCGUCACUAGGUCCGGAGCUGUAUCCUCCUACGAGUCUAUCUUUCACCCGGUCGUCGAGCGGGUAAGUGACCCGUUUCGAUCUCGUUCUAACAAAACCAGUCAUUGAUGAUCAAACAGUUUCUCCUUCCUACUUUUGUUUCAGUAAAUCAAGGGAAAGAAAGAGGGAAAGAAAGAGAGGGAGAUUUUGGGUCUGCAGGGAAAGGUUCAAGAUUGGGUUCGAAAGAAGGGGAAAGAAGGAGGGAACGAAAGAAAGGGAGAUUUGGGGUCUACGGGGAAAAGAGGGUUCAAGAUUGGGUUCGAAAGAAGGGGAAAGAAGGAGGGAGGGUUCAGAUUUAUCACAACUCAGAAAUAAAGAGGGAAAGAAAGAGGGAGGGUUCAUGUUUGGGGAGAGAAAGACCGAGUGAGGGAAAGGGAGAGAGAGGACGAUAUGAGCGAGAGGGUGAUUCACCUGCGUGAGAGGAUGAGGGAGACGGAGUGAGAAGAGAGAGUUCAGUGAGAAGAGAGUUCGGGAGACCGAGUGAGGAGAGAGUUUGGGUUUAUCACAGAUAGCGAAAAUUUAAACAAAGCGCCUAUUUUUAACAAGUGCACCGCCAAAAUUAUCACACAUUGCGCGACGCAGGUUUACCUUUAGACGUCGCGCAAAGGGUUUUUGCGCGACGAGAACACGUGGCAUCGCGCAAGGUAAUUUUUUUUUUAUAAAUAUUAUAAAAUGUACUGAAAAAGUAAUUUUACUGCCUUCAAAUUCAAUUUUUUUUUCCAUAAAACCCACAAUAAUAUAUUGUUAUAACAAUUGCAAUAAAUUUAAAGCUACUUAAUAAAUAUAAAUGUUUUUCAAUUUCUUAAGUGUUAUACGUACAGAAUAAAUAAAUUUAAAUUUACUUAAUAUAUAUACACACAUACCAUUGAAAUUGAUGAGAUACGCAUUGUACAAAACUAAUUUGAACGAUCAAACCCUCAAACUUGUUUGUAUAUACUUCGAGAUUGCAUACACCAAAAAUUGCAAAAAAAAAAUAUUCAGAGAUUAAGUAACGGGACAAAACUUUGCGACGGUUAUAAACGAAAAAUCACGAUUUAACGGUAGCUUUAACUCCGAUUUUAAUGAUUUUUUACAGCUACACUCCUUGAUCCUAUAUGAAUACAAUGAACUAAUUCGAUCGUCAAUUUAGAAUAUUUACAAAAAGUGGAUACCACAAAAUCUUUAUGUUAUACUUAAUGAAAGUAUAAAUAAACUCUAAGUGUUAGUGAAUCUAUCAUUUUGAUGGGAUACGCAUUCUAUGAAGCUAAUUUCAAGGAUCCAACCGUCAAACUUGUUUGUAUAUGCUUUGAGAUCACAUACGCAAAAAAUCGAAAAAAACAAACAUUCAAAGGUCGAGUAACAUGACAAAACUUUUCAACAGUUAUAAACCAAAAAUCACGAUUUAACGGUAGUUUUAACUCCGAUUUUGAUUAUUUUUUAUAGCUAUAGUACUUGAUCCUAUAUGAAUACAAUGAACUAAUUCGAUCAUCAAUUUAGAAUAUUUACACAAGUGGAUACCACAAAAUCUCUAUGUUAUACUUAAUAAAACUAUAAAUAAACUCUAAGUGUUAGUGAAUCUAUUGUUUUGAUGGGAUACGCAUUACAUGAAGCUAAUUUCAAGGAUCCAACCGUCAUACUUGCUUGUAUAUGCAUCGAGAUCACAUACGCAAAAAAUUGAAAAAAACAAACAUUCAAAGAUCGAGUAACGGGACAAAACUUUUCGAUGGGAUACGCAUUGUAUGAAAUUAGUUUCAAAGAUCCAACCGUUAAACUUGUUUGCAUAUGCUUCGAGAUUGCAUAUGCCAAAAAUCACAAAAAACAAACAUUCAGAUAUUAUGUAACGGGAUAAACCUUUUCGAAGGCAAUAAACCAAAAAAUCAUGAUUUAACGGUAGUUUUAACUCCGAUUUUGAUAAUUUUUUAUAGCUACACUCUUUAAAUCUAUAUGAAUACAAUGAACUAAUUCGAUCGUCAAUUUAAAACAUUUACACAAGUGGAUACCACAAAAGAAAAAUGCAAUGCAAGAACCCAAAAAAUAAAAAAAAUAAAAAAAUAGAAGACUUUGCGCGACGUAGGUACCGCUACGUCGCGCAAAAGUUUUUUUUUUUUUUUGCCUUUUGCUUAUAAGUACAAAAUAAAUAAAUGAAAAUAUACUUAGUAAAUACAUAUACCAUUGAUUUUGAUGGGAAACGUAUUGUACGAAACUAGUUUGAACGAUCCAACCAUCAAACUUGUUUGUAUAUGCUUCGAGAUUGCAUAUACCAAAAAUCACAAAAAAAAAAUUCAGAGAUCAAGUAACGGGACAAAACUUUUCGACGGUUAUAAACGAAAAAUCACGAUUUAACGGUUAUUUUAACUCCAAUUUUGAUGAUUUUUUACAGCUACACUCUUUAACCCUAUAUGAAUACAAUGAACUAAUUUGAUCAUCAAUUUAAAACAUUUACACAUGUGGAUACCACAAAAGAAAAAGACAAUGCAAGAACAAAAAAAAAAAAAACUUUGCACGACGACAGUCUUCGUCGCGCAAACUGCCUUUGCGAGCGUAACUAUGCGCGACGAAGGUUGGCGUCGCGCAAAGUUACGUCUCGCAAAGGCAGUUUGCGCGACGUUUUGUGUUUUCCGUCGCGCAAACAUACUUUGCGCGACAAAAUUUUCUCCGUCGCGCAAACAUGUUUUUAUACUAGUGGUCUAACGUGUGGAUGCAAAUUUCUUCCUCCUUGAUCUUGGACAAUUUUGCACCUACAAAACAAUUAACACCUUAGGUUAAGGCCAAGAGCCUCACGCGCCCACGAUGAAUGGGGGAGGCUUUGGCUGAAGAACCUCCGAUGCCAAAGUUAGAAUUUAGAGAGAGAAAAAAUGUUUAGAGAAUUUUGAGAUUUUUGCCAAAGUGUUGGAAUGGGUUUUUGGUGGAAAUGGGAGCACAUAUAUAGGGAUAGGAGGUGGCUUAAUUUAGCAAUUAAUAUAUUAAUUAAGAAUAAUAUAUUAAUUGGUUAAUUAUCAAUAUAAAGGGAAUGUUUUUAUGACUUUCAUGGCAUGAUCAGCUAAUCAAUCAAAUAAUGGUUGAAAAGAUUAGCUAAUCAAUGUAAAAAAGGCAAAUUGUGGUAGGAAAUCAAAGGGAAUGGCCGGCCCCCAUUUUGGAGAAGGACCAACGGCUUUUAGGGUGAUUUUUGGCUUUUAAUUGAUAAUUUAAUUGAAAAUUAAUGAGUUUAUUAGGUAAUAACCCCAUUAAUUUGUCAAUUAACUCGAUUUAUGUGGAAUAUUUGGUAGGUUAUAGAAUGGUUAUUUAAUUAUUUGGCUAGGAGGGAAAGUGAGGUAAAAAUAUAUGAAAUGAGAUAGGUUUUGAAUUGUUACCUAUUUUGGGCAUUUCUGACUUGGUUAAAGAUGUUUAUUUGCUACUUGCGCGUAGGAAUCCCAUGUGCCUCAAGGGUAUUCUUGUCCUUUUUUAUCCAAAGAUCCACGUGUCGCCUUGUGAUUAUUUUUCGCUCCACAUAACGCAAACUACAAAUUUAGUGUACAUAUUUGGGUUUCUCUCAAACUUUUGUCUAAACCCAGCUGUUUUCGAUGGUGUUUUACCCCAAUUGCAGUAGAUGAUUUUGGUGACAACUCAACAUACACAAAUUCAUUUUUCCGGCAUUGACGUUUGCUUGUAUCUGCGAGGAACAUGUAUUGGAUAUUAUCUUUGACCCUCGGUAGCAAAUGCUGUAUCUAGUCGCCUUUUUCAUACUGCUAUGUCAAAUACAGUUGAAUCAUCUUCUGUAUGACCUAAACAGAUUAUUAUAUGGAGCUAUAGCGUACAUAAUCAAUCAAAUAUUGAGUACAUGUUGAGAGUCUUACCGAGAUUGUUUUGUGAAGAUUAUUCCGAAGGGUUUUGCAUGAACUGCCCCCAAAGAAUGACUAAAAUGUUAAAUGAUGUCAUCCCAGGUUGCAUUGAAAGGGAGAAACUGAUAUAAUAUAAUGGCAUGUUUAUACUCAUACAAAUUCCUAUCAAAACAUAAAAAGAAACAAUGUUCAUACAAUCAAAACUGCAGAAAUUAUAACCCGAUUAAAUUUCGUUUUGUCCACCUACUGUUCAGCAGAUUGCUUCCAAACUUUAGCAAUAUAAAGACAAGUACGUAGUUCAGGUGUUGAUGUAUAACCCUUGAGCUGGUAUCUUGGAAGCAAAGUCACAAGUUUUGAAUUUCUUUUUAUAUGUUUAUUUUCUGAUGUAAUCUGAGCCAUUGAAUCAUAGUCCAAGUGGUCUCUUCUCUAGCCUAAGAUUUAAGUGAUAGAUUAUGACAAGUGUACUCACCUCAUAGGGUGAUAGAAUCAAAUGUUAGGAUUUAAUCUUGGUGUAAAGUUGUUAGAGAAGAAUCUCGCUUCUCUCUCCUCUCUAAUGGUUAUAUUUGGUUAGUGGAGUGUGAAAUACAGUCAGAACCUUCAUCACUCUCGCAGCACCAUAGCUGCAUUUUCUCUGCAAUUUUCCUUCUUCCCAAACACUCAAAACCUUCAUAAAACUAAAUACCAAAAGCUAUGAACUCUAACAUAAGGAACCUUUUUGGGUGAUUAAUAUCCAAGAAGACACGCUCAAUUAUCAUUUUCACUAAGCGAUAUGUUUCCCUCAUGUGUUCAAGAGAUGGCUUCUGUUCUUUCAUUAAUAUGAAACUCCAUAAUAUUAUUCUCUUGUGAAAUAUGUUCUGAAACAUAUCAAAAUUUCUCCAAAGACAUAUAAUUAAAGGCAAUUCAAUUACUUGUAGGUAUUAGAGAUCCAACAAUGAUCCUAGCUAUUAGAUGACAAAUUGGAAAAAUUAAAAUUCAUUCACCUCUAAAACAAUGCAAAAUGAUUACUCCCCUAUAUUUAAAAAAUAAUUUGAAAUUUUAAUUACUAAAUUAAUCACCAAAAAAUCAUAAUUAAAAAAAAAUAAAACAUCUAUUUUCGAUUGUAUAUUAUAAUAUACAACACAAUUGUCGUAAUUAAAUUCGUCACUGUAAAAACUUAAAAACGUUCUCAAUUUUCGCACCCGAGAAGUCACGAUUUCGGCAUUUUGCUCUUUUAGAAAUUAGAAGAGCGGAACAUUAAACAUAAAGCAAGUCGGCGGGAUGUUUGAUGCUAGUGUACCGGGCUAAUUAUUUCUAAAAGAGCAAAUGGCGAUAUCAUGACUUUUUAUCUUUCGAAAAUUGAGAAACGUUUUAAAAAUUUUGGCAAUGGCGGAUUCAAUUUGGACAAUUAUAAUGUUUAUUAUAAUAUAUGUUUAAAAAAAGAUGUUUUAUCUUUUUAAUUAUGAUUUUCGAUGAUUAUUUAAGCAUUAAAUUUGGGGGUGUGAUAUUCACACACCUCAUUUUACUUUUCACACAUCCUUCUAAUUUUUUAUCAUCGGAUUAGAUGAAUUGAAGAAAAUCAACAGAUUGAAAUUAAUAAGGGGUAUGUAUAAGAAGUAAAAUAGGAUAUGUGGAUAGCACACCCCUAAAUUUAAAUUAUUAUUUUUAAAUAUAGGGAGUGAUCCUCUAGAAGUAAAUGAAUGUGAUAAUUUCUAAUUUGUCAUCUAAUAGCUGGCGUGAAUCGAUUUCUAAUACUUAUAUUAAUAAACAACUAAUUGAAAGCCCUUUAAAGUUGUUGAGAAGUUUGAUAUUUUUUGAAACAUGUUUCAAAAUAAAAUAAGAGUUUCAUAUUAACGAAAUAACAGAUAUCGAAACGGAAGUAUUGCGUGAAAAGGAUACCUUAACUGAACCGGUCUUCUUGGAUGUACACCAGAUUCUCAAUCAUUACGGAGUCAUUUCUUCCAUGUGUCUAGAUCCUUAGACAUCAAGCUUGUGAAAGUUGAAACCGUGAAUGAGAGAAUAAAAAGAAGGGGAAGGUCGAAUGGUAGGGGUUUUGUUGAGGUAAGGAAAGAGAAGUACAAGGUGAGGCUGCUAGGGUUUUGUUACGGUAAAAAAGAGAAGGAGAGGGAGACGGCGCGGCUAGUACUUGCUAGGGUUUCUUUUGGCAUAAGAAUGAGGAGAGGGAGGGACAGAGAUCCCAGCUGGAUCUCACACUAGCGAAGCCACACUGGGGUCAUUGAGCUCACAUGACCCCAAUAACCCAAUGUUUUCCCUCUUGUUUUUUUGUCUUGACCCCUACUAGUUUGGGAAAGAAAUGGUUUGUAGGUUAGCUUUUUGUUUCUCAACGGUCUUCUCUCUGCUCUUGCUGCUUCAAUUUUCUUCUUUCUUUCCUCUAUCUUCUUCUUUUGUGGUGCAUCUUCUUCUUAAUUCAGAUUUCCUCUGUCCCUUACAAUAUGCUUAACUCAAAUUCUUAUUAAUUGACCCAAAAAAAACUCGUAUUCUUAUUUCCACUUCUGCCCUUGACUGCAUAUUUCCUGGAUGUAUUGACUUCUUGAUUCGUGGCUUAUUGUCAUGUGUCGUGCUUGAUGUUUUCUUUUACUUUUUGUUAGCGCUUUACAUAUAAACAAAAAAUACGAUAUUACUACGUGGACAAACUAUAAACAAAAAUAUGCUUAAUUUUACACCUACUUAUCAUGACCCCAUUGUUAUAUAAUCCUAGCUCCGCCACUCUCACCCCACCAAAUCCUAAGGAUCUGAAGAUCUUGACCAUUGAAAUUUAAUCCAAAUGCUACAAAUAGAGAAGCUCUUCUAAAGUGAUAAUAAUUGUAGCCAUUGAAUUAAAUUUCAAGAGUUCGGAUUUCCGGAUCCUUAAGACUUGAUGGGGAGAUCCGGUAUCUCUGUCCGAGAGGGAGGGGGCGCAUGUUUUAUAAGCGCAAGAAAUGCCGAGGCUAUUUUGGACAUUUGACCCACGGGUUGGACUCAACUGAAAAGUGUUGAAGUUGUUUUGGAUAAUUUUUGUAAUUUUACAAAAGUUUUGGACGAGUUGUACCGUUUGUGAAAUGAAGGGAAAUUAAAGGACUUAUUAAAUUUAAAAUUUACAAGGGUUAACAGUUAAAGAGGAGUUGUUAGUCGGGUCAAAGGGGAGUUCUAACUUGUACAGUUAAUCAUUCCACUAUUUACUCAACGUUGAUCAUGUAAGCAAACAUACCCUUUUAAUUUUGUAGGUAUGAUAAUCUGAACAAGAACGACACCGAGGCUGAUGCAAGCUUCACGAACUCAACUCCUUCUGGCUUUGGACAGGUGUGUUCCGCGACUGAGACUGUAAGUGUAAUGGUCAUUGCAUGUGUUCGUUCAGUUUUGUGAAUGAUGUUAAUUUGCUGGAUUUUUCUUGAAUGGUGCUGUUUAUGAGUUGGCUGAGGCUCUCGGUUUCCUCACCCAUUGUAAAUGGUAAUAAUCUUCAUCUUCUUGUUCUUCCUCGAGCCUUAUGAUUGUAUAAGAAAUAUCGCAUCAGGGGAUUUUGAUUUGAAGAAGAAGAGGCACCCAAUUCAUUCUUUUUGCCGAAUGGUUCUUUCUCAAAUUUUAUGACACUCGGCAAAUGCGUUGCGUAAAUUGUUAUUACUGUGUGAUAUGCAUUUUAGGUGGUGUUGUAUUUUGGACCGGUUUUGGGUUUUCUGUUGUUGAUUGAAAUCAAAUCUUCUGAGAGUAUUUUUUAUUUUGAAGUUGCUUGAGUUUGCAUCUCAAUACUAUACUAUACUAUAAAUGGUUCUAUUUGAUUGUUUUCUUGAGAUUAAUUAUUGGAUUCGUAAUUUAUUGAAUGAAUGGUUGAUUUGAUGAGAGAGAGCCUUGGAGCAACGGAAAGGUUGUUCUUUUGAGACCAAAAGAUUAUGAGUUCGAGUUGUGGAAACAUCAUCUUUGCAAAGCAAGAUGUUCUCAAUCAAUGCUCAUUCGUUCCCGCACCCUUUCACAGUCACCGUUUUUCCUAUACGAAGUUCUCAAUCAAUGCUCCUUCACCUUUCAUCGGUGCUCCACUUUCCUUGUUUGAUUAUUAACAAACAUCUACUGAUUUUGCAUUGAUUCGUUUAAUUGGUGUGUAUGCCUUUUUCUUUUAAUUUGUUCUCCAUUGUUGCAGACUACUAAGUUUUGCUUGAGGAUCUAAAAUUUUUGUUGCAAUCGGUCGUAUGUAUAAUUAUUGAAGUCAGGUUCCUAGGUUUUAGGUUUUUUUCUUUUAGGGUUUUUUUUUAAUUUUUUUUUAUUAAAAAAAUUCAAAUUAUUUUUAAAAUGUGGUCCGCCUAAGGUGCCAUGUAAGAUGAUAUAAAAUUGUGGUACAAAUAGAGGAUAAUAAUGAUAUUAUUGAAGAUUUAUAUGAUACAAAAGAAGAAAGAAAAAUAUGAGAGGUCCCAAGCCAAUAAUAUUUAGGGUUUAUAUAUAGAGGAGGGGUUUGAUGUGCUUUUGCUUGGCAAGUAGGGCAAUGUGGGGUUUGAUGUGCUUUUGGGUUACACAUUAUAAGAUUCUGUCCAGGUUUUAUGCUCUUAAAUCUCGACAUCUCAACCUCUUCCUCCCCCACGUACAAACACUCUAGCCAUGAAUAUAAAUUCUGGCUCGUGCUUUUUUUAAGUCCCCAAUUAAUUAUCACAGAGAUUCCUAAACCUUAAUAAACCAAAAUCAUAUAUAUGUAGGGUGACGUGACGAUCCGUGCCAGCCGUGCCGUCUCCUUCUUUUUCUUAAGGUGUGGUAUUGAGUGAUUUGGCCGGGAACCCAACUGAGCGAGCUAUCUCAACAGGCAGGUCUGAAUCAGACCGUCCGAUUUUUCCCUCUCCUUCCUUGAUGUACAUCCUUUCUCCUGUCAUCUAAGUGACCGUUUAUCAUUUUUUUUUUCUAGGAAUUUUAUGCAUAUUUUUAAUCUUUAGGGUUUGUGCUUGUUUUUGGGGUAUUUUUGUUUUUUUUUUGUUGGAUUAUUUUGAUGAUGAUACGAUAAUCUUUAGAUUUAGUAGUAUAAUUAAUAACGUAUGUGUUGUAGGGGUAUUUUCAUGAAUGGCGUUAGUAUAAUUGUUGGAUUUAUCAUCUGCUAGUAUAGAUGUUAAUUUGCUGGUUUUUUCCUGAUUGGUGUUGUAUGAUUUGGAUAUGGCUCUCAGUUUCCUCCCUAUCGUCAAUUGUAAUAAUCGUUAUCUUCUUAUUCUCCUUCGAAUCUUAUAAUUGUAAAAUGCCUUUUGGUUUUCGUUGGUUUCGGUGGUGUUGUGUUUGGACCAGUUUUCGGUUUUCUGUUGUUGAUUGAAAUCAAAAUCCUUGGGAGUCUGUUUUUUUCUCUCUCUUUAUUUUGAAGUUUCUUGAGUUUUCAUCUCUAUACUACAAAUUAUUCUCUUUGACUGUUUUGUUGAUAUUAAUAUUGGUUUAGUAUUCUAUUGAAUGAAUGAUUGAUUUUAUCUUGUUCAUUAUUUGACACACAUUCCUACCGUUGAUCCCACCCAGGACAAGAUACAAAUGUCGAACCAAGAUUGCUAUUAUUGCAUUCAGCUUAAUGGGCGAGUUUGCAGCCUAAACAUCAGUCAGCUAUUAUUAUUCAAGAAGGGAUCUACUUCUAAGAGGCCCGAAUUCAAAAAUGUGUUUGUCAACGCAAAUGCUGAAUUUCCCAUGCGGAUGGGGCUACUUAUCAGGGAUUCCAAAUUGCAUUUUGUUGGGGGUGAGAAGAUUGUCAGGCCUGGGAUUGUUCCUCACUUGGAGUUAGACCCGAGGUCUUUCAGACGUAGCCCUGAAUUUUGCCACCCCAACUCCCAUGUCUUCACCUUUGACCCUACAUUCCACACCCUCUAUAAGGACAGUAACUUUCCUGAUCCUUCUGCUCCCAAGUCCUGCCCUAUCGUGGUCACCCUUGGGGAUAAAAACAAAGUUUAUGUCCUUUCAACAGAUUCACUCUACCUCUUUACUGGUCAUAGUUUAACUGAACCAAUUUUCGAGGCUUUUGAUUUUGAGUUAAAAACCUGGAAACCUCUCCCUCCCCCCCUUUACUCCCGUCGCGCCCCUAUCAUGUCCCGCUAUGCUAUUGGCCGCAAGCUGUAUCUUAAUACCAGCCAUUUUUCAUGCAUUUUUGAUGCAGAAAAAGAAGAAUGGGACUAUGCCAUCCCAUUGAAGUUUCCCUAUCUUAUGUGUUCUGUAGAGUACAAUGGCUUUCUAAUUGCCAUGCCCUUAUUCGGAGAAGCAGAAGUUGUUGCCUAUAACUUGGACUCAUUUGGGCUCACCAAUUCUGAAAAGCGUCUAGAUCAGCUACAGGAAAUAUUCAAGGAUCCCUUUUACGACCCCAGAGGGUGCUAUCUCACCAGUCUUGACGAUCAUGGCCGCAUGUGCCUCCUUUAUUCAGGUUUCUCCUCUUCCAACUCUUCCAAAGAGUUUUGGGGACGUGUAGCGGUGUUUCAAGUAUCCGUCUCAAACUCUACCGACGGUCCAGUUGUCACUGCAGUUCUAGAGGCUGUCGAAGACUAUAACAUGCAGGACUUUGUAGUUCGUGAUGCCAGUAUUUACUCAACAUUCAUCAUGUGAGCAAAAGUUUUCUGACUUUCCUCCCUCUUUAGUUUUGGCUUUAACGUUGAUCUGCAUUUAUGUAUUUGUUAGCACAUUAUAUACGGCUGUGACCAGCCAUUUUUUGUUCAAUAUACGUAUGCCUUCUUUCAUGCAUUAUGGUGUCUUUUGAAUUCUAAAUGUUUCGUAUCCUUUUUGUACAUUCCCAGUACUUUAUCCUAGGCGAAGUCGUCAUUCCCUGCUUGUCAUUUUGUAGGUAUGAUGAUCUGAGCAUGGAUGAUACCGAGGCUGAUGUAAGUUUCACGAACUCAACUCUUUCUGGCUUGGUUGCUGUUAUGCAUGAAGAACCGGAAACUACAGUUUCUGAAACAGGCCAGGUACGCAACUGAGUUUUUUUUCAUUUACUGUUUGUGGGUUCUGAUUCCAGUGAGUUAUUUAACUUGAUAGUUUCUCUCUGACUUGUUCAAUUUCUCUGCUCUCCCCUUGGAUCUAGAU
rnacentral:lncRNA from 1 species